CUUCUUUUCUUGCACUACCUCUAACAAUUUCCUUCCUCUCAAUAACCAUGGCUACAACUCUUUCACUUUCCUUCUCCUUAGACCCUCAAAACCGCUUCAACAUCCUCACCACAACCAAAACGACUCGUCGUUUCACAUUCUCAUCUCUUCCUCAUCGAAAAACCCUAAUCCCAACCCCUAAUCCACACUUCAAACUCUCCUCUUCUUCCCAUUCCCAAUCCCAAACCCUAGCCGAACCCAUCAUUCAACCCGGUAAAUUCCUCACAAACGAAGAACUCGACAAACUCCAAUUCCUCUCCUCAUUCCUCUACUCUCAUCAACUCGAAUCCGGCACGGUCUGGGUUCGAGUCAUGAGAGACAACGAAGUGGAUCCCAUUGUGUGUUUACUCGCGGAUUCGUUUGCUGAAUCGAUGAUGUUUCCGAAAGGGUAUAUCAAUGUGUUGAGGUUUUUGGUGAAACAGUAUUUGGUUGAACGGAGGAGUUCGAUGCCGCAUAUGGCGACGUUGGUUGGGUUUUAUAGAGGGGUUGUUGAUGGGGAAGAUGAGGAAAUGCAGUUGGCUGGGACUGUGGAGAUUUCUUUUGAUAAAAAUGGGGCUAAUACUACUGUUCCUUCGCCUACUCCUCCCAGGGAUUCUCCUUACAUUUGUAACAUGGCUGUGGAAAAAUCUCUCAGAAGGAGGGGCAUUGGAUGGCACCUUCUACAGGCAAGUGAGGAAUUGAUUUCUCAGAUGAGUUCAUUGGGAGAAGUUUACUUGCAUUGCCGAAUGAUUGAUGAAGCUCCAUUUAACAUGUAUACAAAAGCUGAUUACAAAAUUGUAACGACAGAUAGUAUAUUAGUUCUGCUGAUGUUGCAGAGACGCAAGCACUUGAUGUGCAAGAAACUUCCUCUCAUAAGUAUGCCUUCAGAAACAGAUGUGUCAUGGUCUGAUGAGUAAAAGACAACAUUAAUGUUACCAAGGAUGGUUGCAGUGGUUUUAGUUUGACUGGAGGAUGAAGAUUGGUUUCAAGCAUCCUUAUAUACUCGCUUACCAGUAGGGAAGAGACCUGUUGUUUUGCAGGUUAGGUACAUCGUAUUUUCUUGAAGAACCUACUAACAUUAGAGAUGCAUGGGAAAUAUAUAUAAAAUUGGGUCUGGAUUUCUUCAAUUCAAUCAAAACAGUGGUUUGUCUAUGCAUCAAAGGUUUAUAUAUUGGUCCUAAAGUUUGAACAUGGCACAUUUGAUCGUUUGAACUGAACCAUACAUGGCCGAAAGAAGUAGGACAAGGGUGGUUGACUCUUGUCACUGUCUCUUCGGUACUCCUUUCAUGUAGUCGGUGAUGGGGGUAGAAGUAGGAUAAGGGUGAUAAUAUGGUUGAAGAUUAAUAAAGAAAAGGCUCAUUUAAGAUUUGCCCACAAUGGACUUAGUUCUUCAUCUUGUAAGAUCAUCAAGUUUGUUAUCUUUGUACAUAAUUGUGCAAAAUACUAAUAUUAAUUAGUCUGGUGUAUAUAUAUGGAAAAGUACCAAACAUAGUUCACUCUGUUUAUUUUCAACAAGAAAUCACCAUAAUUUUGGUGUCUAAAUCUUUGGUGUCAUUAGAUCAGUCUCAAACUAUGCAUAACCAUUCCCAAGCCUUUUGAAUUUGUAUAGAUAAUCAUUUGGAUCUCUUUUACACAAUCUGCCAUUGAAGGCCGCUCAUUACUUUCAGUUCGUACACAUCUUGAUGCCAGAUUGGCAAACAUGACUAUAGACUGAAUGGUGUAAGAAUUUCUAGCCAUCUCCGGAUCUAUCACCUUACGGAGCUUCUUGCGGUCAUUCAAUAUGUGCCUCACCUGCAUAUAAAUGUAAAAUAUAUUAAAGUAUUGCUGCUGCAAGGCUUAAAUUGCGGAACUUGUGAAUUUUCUACCCUCAAGAACAAGAAUGGACUAUGAAAGAUACACCAGAAAAUUACCAAUUACCAGUAAUGUCAAGUUAUUUUUGUAUAAAUUUAUGAAAUGAAGAAAAACCAAAUUGCAAAUUUCAAGGUCAUACAUGGUCUUUAUUAUUUUAGAAUCCCUAAUGAGUGUGUGUUCACUUCCUACCUGUAGUACAAGAUUUUGAUCGUUAGGACCUUGGUUUAGGUCUACAGCUCGGCGUCCAGUCAAAAGCUCCAGAAGAACAACACCAAAAGCAUAAACAUCACUUUGGAGAGUGAGUUUCCCUGUCUGUUGUCAAAUGAAAUAAAUUGGUGAAAAUACAAAUGUAGCAGUAAACAGAUUCCAGAUAUAUAAGAAAACAAAAAGUUAAAGAUUACCGGAUAGAAUCUUGACAUAUUAACAUUUGAUUUGGGUUAUAGAUAAAUAAAGUAAGUUUUAGCAACAACAUUUGGUGGGACGUUUGUCUAUUUAUCCAUUUUGAUAGUCAUGUUCCUUUCAGGUCAUACAUACACCAGUAAAUAAAAGGAAACUGAAAGACUUAAUUGGAAUUGGAUAAAAUUUCAGUUUCAGACUUUUAAUGCAUAUCAGAUUUUGAAAGUUAAGCCAACUUUUACUGGAUGAGUUGACGUUGGGUUACUAACAUGAUUUGCGAUAUUAAUUAAUUUUAGGGUGGCUUAGCCAUUCACAACAGGUUACUAGUUGGUGUUGCAUUGCUGUUGAUCAAUAAAUGAUUUAACUCACUAAGUACAAUAUGCAUAACAUUAAAAUAUUAGUUAGGUAUAUUGUGCAUGUAAUGCUAUUCUCUGUUGCGGCAGUUGUGGAUCUCUGGUGUUUGAAAAUAUGAAGCUGAUUACACCAUAUGCUUGUGAAAAUUAUAGCAUAAGAAAUUUAUAUAUACUGGAUAUUUGAAAUCUCUUUUCUUAUCUUUAUGACUGAAUAACAUGAAAAAGGUAGAAGAAACUGUCUAAAUAUUGAACAUUGUAAGGAAGUGAAGGUUUUUCUUAUUCUUGGGGAGGGUGGGUGGAUAUAGACAUAGAUACGUACCGAUGUAUACUCAGGAUCAAAGUAACCAAAGGUACCAAGCACUCUGGCAGUCACAUGUGUCUCCUGUCCUUCUGGCAUUAACUUGGCGAGCCCAAAAUCAGAUAUCUACAUAAAGACAUAAUUAUAGUUCUUACAUAUUAUUGUUAGAAAUAUUGUAAUAAAGCCAAUAUUGCAAUUUUAUUUAUACCUUAGCUUCAUAGUUGGCAUCUAAGAGAAUGUUUGUCGAUUUGAAAUCUCUGUGAACAAUAGGAAUUCCAACAUCAGCACUUGAAUGGAGAUAAGCAAGCCCUUUUGCAGCUCCUAGUGCCACCUGUAGUCUUUGAGGCCAAUCAAUGUUUCUUUCUCCAAUUCCUGAAAUUUUAGAGUAAUAGAAGCUUGAUGUUCCCAUUAAGCAUAUAUUCAUAUACUAAGAAUCUGUGCUUUCCAUCAGCACAGUAUCCUAUCAAGGAAACAAGAUUUGGGUGGCUCAGUCUGCUCAAAAUAUCAACUUCGACUCGGAAUUCUCGUUCCCCCUCUGCUUCUUUUAUUGCUGGAAGCUCCAUUUUCUUGAUUGCUACAACCUUCAAAGGCAGACAUAUUGUAUCAGUAUGUAUUUUCAUCAAGAUAGCACAUUUUGAACCAUUUUUGUAAAUCUUGAAAAUCUUCUGUUUCGAAGCUAACAAAACCUUGAAAAUCAUGAUGAA